CCGAUGGCUUUGGCGAGCCCAAGUCUUUGGCACUCUUCCAUGGCAGUCCACACACCCUUGAGGUCGAAAGGAAGGAAGUCUUCCUGCUUAAUGGGAUAGACUGGUGGCCCUGGCUUUGCGCUUACAGCCCAAUGUAUAAGGAACAACAAGAUUAGGAUGUGCAUCACUAACCCACAGCUUAGAAGUGAUGAAAAGCUCCUCUCUUGAUUUAACCAUUCCACAGUUAAGCACUUGAGUGAUUCCCUCUCCAAGAGCCUUCUCUGUAAAGUAGAUGGUGGCUGUAUCAAAGUGCCGGUAACCCACUUCCACAGCGUCGAUUACGGCAUUUUUUGUUACCUCAUCGGGCACCGGCGGGUUAGGAGCCAUGCCUAGACCCAGUACCGGCAUGGACACUCCACCAUGGCUUAGCUGAAUGGUUGGAAUUUUAGGUGAAGUUCCCUCAUUUGCCAUAGUUUCUCUGUCAAUAAUUCCCCUGUUUUUUCGUUCUGUUUUGGUGUCAAGUGUUAGGACUUAAGUAUGUAGGAUGUUUGUCUAUCUGCUUUCUUUUAAGUAGUGACUGAGAUGUAAAUGCUCUAUUGGAUUGAUCAAAAGUUUGUGGGUUGUUGGUACUUUUUGUUUUUAAUGCCACAUUUGUAUAGGACUGA